rnacentral:rRNA from 1 species
AACGAACGCUGGCGGCAUGCCUAACACAUGCAAGUCGAACGAGACCUUCGGGGCUAGUGGCGCACGGGUGCGUAACGCGUGGGAACCUGCCCUUAGGUUCGGAAUAACUCCCCGAAAGGGGUGCUAAUACCGGAUAAUGUCUUCGGACCAAAGAUUUAUCGCCUUUGGAUGGGCCCGCGUUGGAUUAGCUAGUUGGUAGGGUAAAAGCCUACCAAGGCGACGAUCCAUAGCUGGUCUGAGAGGAUGAUCAGCCACACUGGGACUGAGACACGGCCCAGACUCCUACGGGAGGCAGCAGUGGGGAAUAUUGGACAAUGGGCGAAAGCCUGAUCCAGCAAUGCCGCGUGAGUGAUGAAGGCCUUAGGGUUGUAAAGCUCUUUUACCCGGGAUGAUAAUGACAGUACCGGGAGAAGAAGCUCCGGCUAACUCCGUG